rnacentral:rRNA from 1 species
UACAGAGGGUGCAAGCGUUAAUCGGAAUCACUGGGCGUAAAGCGCACGUAGGCGGAUCCUUAAGUCGGGGGUGAAAUCCUGGAGCUCAACUCCAGAACUGCCUUCGAUACUGAGGAUCUCGAGUCCGGGAGAGGUGAGUGGAACUGCGAGUGUAGAGGUGAAAUUCGUAGAUAUUAGGAAGAACACCGGUGGCGAAGGCGGCCCACUGGAUCGGUACUGACGCUGAGGUGCGAAAGCGUGGGGAGCAAACAGG